rnacentral:rRNA from 1 species
AGUGAACGCUGGCGGCAGGCCUAAUACAUGCAAGUCGAACGGCAGCACAGCAGAGCUUGCUCUGUGGGUGGCGAGUGGCGGACGGGUGAGGAAUACGUGGGAAUCUGCCCAGUCGUGGGGGAUAACGUAGGGAAACUUACGCUAAUACCGCAUGCGCCCUUCGGGGGAAAGCCGGGGACCUUCGGGCCUGGCGCGAUUGGAUGAGCCCACGUCGGAUUAGCGAGUUGGCGGGGUAAAGGCCCACCAAGGCGACGAUCCGUAGCUGGUCUGAGAGGAUGAUCGGCCACACUGGAACUGAGACACGGUCCAGACUCCUACGGGAGGCAGCAGUAGGGAAUAUUGGACAAUGGGCGCAAGCCUGAUCCAGCCAUGCCGCGUGAGUGAAGAAGGCCCUCGGGUUGUAAAGCUCUUUUGUCCGGAAAGAAAAGCGCCGGGUUAAUACCCUGGUGUCCUGACGGUACCGGAAGAAUAAGCACCGGCUAACUUCGUGCCAGCCGCCGCAGUAACAC